AUUACCUACGGGGCGCAGCAGUGGGGAAUAUUGCACAAUGGGGGAAACCCUGAUGCAGCGACGCCGCGUGAAGGGAGAAGUAUUUCGGUAUGUAAACUUCUAUCAGCAGGGAAGAAAAUGACGGUACCUGACUAAGAAGCCCCGGCUAACUACGUGCCAGCAGCCGCGGUAAUACGUAGGGGGCAAGCGUUAUCCGGAUUUACCGGGUGUAAAGGGAGCGUAGGCGGCAGGGCAAGCCUGAUGUGAAAGCCCGGGGCUCAACCCCGGGACUGCAUUGGGGACGGCCCCGCUCGCGUGCCGGAGGG
rnacentral:rRNA from 1 species